CCUAGUAAGGAAGCUAUGCAACUGCCAAUGUGCACCAAUGGCCCUUCUUUACCUAAAUCUAAGCCUGCAGAAACAGCUCCAAUACUUCCUAUGAUCUGUAACAAUGAAGAAAUUUCAAGAGUUCUGGCUGAUAGACAGGUCCAGCUGCAGUGGGUGCGAAACACACACACAGAACAGCAGCAACCAUGGUCAGAAUAAAAUUAACACCAGUAAAAAAUAUAAAUCCCAUCAGGUACCUGCAUACACCAAGAUGAUUGCCAAAGCAUUUCUCAAUUCCCAGCUCUAGCAAAGCGAACCACGGAGAGAAGCUUGUACCCUGCAAUAUUCUCAACUGCAAGAUUGAUGAACGUGGCAAUUAUGCCAGUUAGAAGCCCAACAAGGAAAGCCAGCGUCCAUUUUAAGAAAAUAUACUGCAAUACUUGGACUUUUGAUCUGCUUCUCCAGUCAUGCUUGAAGAGAUCAUUCUCAUUGAUCCUGUAUAAAAAGAAUUUGCUGCAUAAAGAAGAAUGUGAAGAAGAAAAAGGAACAUUAGAAUCCAAAAACAGAGUAAGAUGUUUUUACUCAUAGUCCAAGCUCUCAAUAUGAGAGACCUUGGCUCCAA